rnacentral:rRNA from 1 species
AUUGAACGCUGGCGGCAGGCCUAACACAUGCAGGUCGAGCGGAUGAAGGGAGCUUGCUCCUGGAUUCAGCGGCGGACGGGUGAGUAAUGCCUAGGAAUCUGCCUGGUAGUGGGGGAUAACGUCCGGAAACGGGCGCUAAUACCACAUACGUCCUGAGGGAGAAAGUGGGGGAUCUUCGGACCUCACGCUAUCAGAUGAGCCUAGGUCGGAUUAGCUAGUUGGUGGGGUAAAGGCCUACCAAGGCGACGAUCCGUAACUGGUCUGAGAGGAUGAUCAGUCAACUGGAACAUGAGACACGGCCUGGCCCCUUAGGGAAGGCACAGGGGGGAAAAUUGGGCAAAGGGGGGAAAGCUUGUCCCAGCCAGGCCGGUUGGUGGAAGAAGUCCUCCGAUUGGUAAACCACUUUAAGUGGGGGGAAAGGCAAGAAAGUUAAACCUUGCUGUUUUGACGUUACCAACAGAAUAAGCACCGGCUAACUUCGUG